AUUGAACGCUGGCGGCAGGCCUAACACAUGCAAGUCGAACGGUAACAGGAAGAAGCUUGCUUCUUUGCUGACGAGUGGCGGACGGGUGAGUAAUGUCUGGGAAACUGCCUGAUGGAGGGGGAUAACUACUGGAGACGGUAGCUAAUACCGCAUAACGUCGCAAGACCAAAGAGGGGGACCUUCGGGCCUCUUGCCAUCGGAUGUGCCCAGAUGGGAUUAGCUAGUAGGUGGGGUAACGGCUCACCUAGGCGACGAUCCCUAGCUGGUCUGAGAGGAUGACCAGCCACACUGGAACUGAGACACGGUCCAGACUCCUACGGGAGGCAGCAGUGGGGAAUAUUGCACAAUGGGCGCAAGCCUGAUGCAGCCAUGCCGCGUGUAUGAAGAAGGCCUUCGGGUUGUAAGUACUUUCAGCGGGGAGGAAGGGAGUAAAGUUAAUACCUUUGCUCAUUGACGUUACCCGCAGAAGAAGCACCGGCUAACUCCGUG
rnacentral:rRNA from 1 species